rnacentral:lncRNA from 1 species
CACGCACGGUGCACACGCAGGCCGCUGGUCGAGGGCUUCGCUGCGGACCGCGCCCCUGGCUGGAGUGACUGCCGUCCUGUCCUGGGAGAAUCUCGCCUCUUGCGCCCCGGAUCUCAGAGAGAAUCUUGUAUACCAUUAGUGGUGCACUUGGGGACACAUUGUGGUGUCUGUGGAGAGAAAGAAGAAGCUGACAUCUGAUACGAGAGGUCUCCGGAAGCUGCCUGGAGUUCACCAGCCUCCACUCCUUUGCCUGAGCUGAUUCCCCAUGAAGCGCUCUGUCACUUGCAAUCCUUCCUUCUUUGGGUCACCUUCUCCUGCAUCUCUCCUAAAGGAAGACAUUUUCUUUCCUCUGAAAUGCUCACUAGAGCCACACGGGGGACCCGGAAGAAAUUCAGGUUGCAGAACCAGGAGAGGAGCAGCUGCCCCAAACUCAGUUCCACCCACAUCCGCACAUCCCAGUGAGUCCCCGUUGGACACAAGACCCACCACUUCCUUCUUCUCUGCGGAGCCACAUCCGAAUUCAGCCCUGAAGUUAUCUUCUUUAACUUUUCCCCAACAAUCUGCAGAAACAUGGGUCAGGUAACCUCCCAUUUGAAAUGUUGACAACCUCAGCUUCCUAAUAAAAUAAAAGCCUGCUUUC